UGGGAGUGAGUGGCGAACGGGUGAGUAACACGUGAGUAACCUGCCCCUUCCUUUGGGAUAACGCCCGGAAACGGGUGCUAAUACUGGAUAUUCACUGAUCUUCGCAUGGGGGUUGGUGGAAAGGGUUUUUUCUGGUGGGGGAUGGGCUCGCGGCCUAUCAGCUUGUUGGUGGGGUGAUGGCCUACCAAGGCUUUGACGGGUAGCCGGCCUGAGAGGGUGACCGGUCACAUUGGGACUGAGAUACGGCCCAG
rnacentral:rRNA from 1 species